rnacentral:rRNA from 1 species
GAUGAACGCUGGCGGCAGGCCUAACACAUGCAAGUCGAGGGGGAGGGUACUUUCGGGUAACUGAGACCGGCGUACGGGUGCGUAACGCGUAUACAAUCUGCCUUUCACUGGGGGAUAGCCCGAAGCAAUUUGGAUUAAUACCCCAUAGUAUAGUACUACGGCAUCGUGAUGCUAUUAAAGCUUAGGUGGUGAAAGAUGAGUAUGCGUUCUAUUAGCUAGUUGGGGAGGUAACGGCUCCCCACGGCGAUGAUAGAUAGGGGUUCUGAGAGGGAUGUCCCCCACACUGUUACUGGGAUACGGACCAGACUCCUACGGGAGGCAGCAGUGAGGAAUAUUGGACAAUGGUCGGAAGCCUGAUCCAGCCAUGCCGCGUGCAGGAAGAAGGUCUGAUGGAUUGUAAACUGCUUUUGUAAGGGAAGAAUAAGGGCUACGCGUAGUUUGAUGACGGUACCUUACGAAUAAGCAUCGGCUAACUCCGUG